rnacentral:lncRNA from 1 species
AGGCUGCGCAGCUGCGUCUGCGGGCGGGGAGCCGGGGCGGCCGUGGGCUUCCUCCGGGCGCGGGCUGACGGCUGCCGCCUGUGGGCGCCCCAGCCCUGCAGCCGAGCGGGAGGGGCGGACCAGCGGGUGUCGGGAGCAGGCUGCAGCGGCCAGGCCUCUGCGGCUUCUCGGAGUACUGGGUCCACUGGAGAGCGAAGAGCCGCGGCCGCCAGGAUUCCCAGCAGCGGCCGCGUGUUGAGAGCCUAGAAGUGGCCCCGAAGCCGUGCCUUUCCCGAUAGCCAAGCAGAAGUAGGACUUGAAGCACCGAGGCUGGGAUGCCCAUGCUGGUGACGCCUUGGGGCUCGCAGUUAUACUUGGUGACCGGUCUACACGGCGAUUCGGUGCUUUCCGGAGUAGCAGAUUCAUCUAUCUUUAGACCCACCUUCGUCCUUCGGCGGUUUAGCACGGCCUGCGCUUUCCUGCGAGCCCUGCUGUCACCCGAACAGCCUGAUGACUUCACGCUCAACCACUGGAGGGCACAACCACAUCAUUUUUAAAAAAUAGAUUCCUCCACUUAAAGGACAUGGUUUUGGGGGAAAGAACAUUUAAAAAAUGUAAAAAGAUAUAUAUCUAUAUCUAUAUAUCUAUCUCAGAUUGUUCUGAUAUAAACUCAGGUGGGAUUCUUCAAAACAGGAGGCUGUUCCAGUCUCUUCAUUUUGCAGCUGAGAAAACGAAGGCCUUGGAGCUUGAGAACUCCAGUUGCCCAAGGCACACAGGUGGUGGGUAAGGAAGCUGAUCAUGUCUCCAAAGAAUCCUUCCAUGACCCAGGAGGAUCCGGUGGGAGAGCAGGGCCGUCCACAGCUCAGCUAGGACACAAGAAGGCCCGGGGUGGCAGGAGCCCCACUGUGUGCUGCGGAGGAUGGCAGAGGAAGUCAGCAUUGUCCCGAAACUGCAGGAUCAUGUGAUGUGAUGGGAAAAAAUUAUGAGUACAAGACACAGGAAGAGCAGGUCACGGAAACACAUGGUGCCCAGAAGGGCUUAAUUAGUAGCAGCUGUGCGGGGUGAUGCACAGAGUGCCCCAAGGGUGUCCUGAGUGAGGGUGGAUGUCCCCUGCCCUCUGGCUUCGUGAAGGCUUCGUGAAGCCUGCCGGGUCACCCUUGUUUUCAUGGAUAGCUUCUUUAGGACACUCUCUCCACCAGUAAUUGACAAAGUCUGCUUCUGUUGAGUGUCUGAUAAAGGAUUGAGUUUACAUGAUUGUUAAGAUAGGAUCAUGAAAGAAGACAGAAGACGGAUGUGAGUGGCCCUCAGAAAAAAAGCAUCAAAGGAAACUGAGGAGUCUGUGUUCCGAGUUAUAACAUCAGUCCUGUGUGUAAGUGCUGAGUUUCAGCUCUGCCCAAGGCUAGGGGUUGCCUAGUCGGCUUCAACUGUAAGCUCCUAAGGGACAGUGCUGCCCCUUGAGAUGACUGGGCAGCCAUCAGCUUCAUGCUAGAGGCUUUAAAGCAAACCCAAGAUGGAGUCUCAGUACUGAUUAUUUGGGCCAGUGCCUUUCUUAACAUUUCACGGAUAUAUUCCUUUAUUUUAUUUGUUGUAUUUUAGUACAGUUUUGCUCUAUUCAGUCAUGGUCAUUCUUAGUUGCUGUUGUCUUUGUAAACUUAUUUAAUAUCUUUUAAAUAUUAAAAGAUUAAAUAAAUUAUUUUCUAAUAAAUUCUUUUAAUAUUAAAAUAUUAAUUUUUGAUAAGAACCUUGUUUACUCUCAAGAUUAAUGUAGUAAAUAAAGAAGACUAAAAACUUCAGAGACUGAAAGCUGCUGAGAAUGUGUAAGAGAAACCUGGUUGUCAAACGCAAUCCUGAUCUUUUAUCAGGCAUCUGUAUCAAUGUGGAUGAUCUAACCGUGGUUAACUUCAUGAAGAAGGAAGAUAUUUGAUUUUCAUCUGUUUAAAGAAACAAUCUGUUUCUUCUAAAAGUAUAUACUCUAAAACACAAACCACUUGGCUGGGAAAUAAAAGAUGGUUAUGCUUUAUCAUUUAUAUAAGCCUGGCCUUUCUCCAAAAUGAUUUUGAUAUAGCUUACAACAAAAAACGUGUUAGGCUUAAUAAAAGAAGAAUGGAAAUGGAAACUAAGGAUCAACAGAAAAGAGUAUCACAAAUACGGUAAUACUAGCAUAUGGUAAUAUUAUUUCUGUAUUUGAGUGUAAAACGUGGCUGUGAGCUUCCUGGAGGCCAAGGCAAAAAUAGAGACAAGAGCAACGUGCAUAAUAUCAUUAGCAGACAGAAAGAUCAUGUGACUUUUUAAUUUUUUUCCCGGAAACUGAAUCUAAAAAGAAUCGCUCUAUAUAAUGACUCAUAUAUAUGGUUUUAAGUGAAAAAAUGAUGAACACUGUCCUCCAUGAGAGUUUUGGCACAAAUUGAAGGAGGUAAGAACUGAUAUUGAAGCACAACUCAGUGAAGUUAAUCCUGUCAGGCUAGGUUCACACAAGAAAACUUCUGACAAAAUCCUAGAAUUCCGGCAAAUGCAGGCAUGGAAUGAGAGAUUCCUAUUCCAUCUGCCUCGUUGUGCCUGGGGCCAGGCCUGAGUGUUGAAGACAGCUUGUUCCAAUGUAAGAUCAAAUGAGAUUGUUCAUAACAGGAGUCUGCAGGAAUAUGGCACCUCUGAUUUGAAAUGAUGGAUGAUUUUCAUCAGCCGUGUAUCUGCUUCCUUGGCAGCACCCCAAGUGCAGACCCCAGGCUGUUUCAGUGUGUCAUCUGGCAGGCCCAAACAGAGGAUGUCUCAAUUGUGCAUGUGUAACACAGCUUUAAUUCAUAAUUUCAUUUCUGGAUGGAAUUUUGAGCAGAUGGGCAUUGCUGUCCUUUUUAAUGGUAAAAAAUCAAUGAAAGACACCGUGGUUUUGAAAUUAAUGAGCACUUGAAAAAUACCAGCUUUGUUUGGCUUUGCGUUUUCUUUUUUCCUCUCCUCCUAAGUUGUUUGCAGCAAAAUAUUCAAUUGAAAACUCAACAUGUCCACUGCCUCCCAAAAAAAAAAAAAAAUUCUGUGGAAAGUCUCCACUAACAGGAAGAGAGAAGUUCUUCACAGUUUGGUUUUAUUUUUCAAUGAUAGUCAUUGCCUCAUUUUUAAAGCAUUUAUAAUAAAUUAAGCAAGUAACACUUGUGUACCAGUUUCUAAUCAGUUUCUAAUGUGCCUGGAACUUGCUGGGCUACAAAGAAAAGGAUCAACUAUUUUUUUUCCUGCACCCAAAGAUAUUGCAAUCUUAUCGGAGAAGGGAAACUGAGGCAUGUGUUACAGUUAGAGGACUAGGAAGCACUAAUCUGUGUCAGACUCCAAAGUGCAAAUUCAAAGGAAAGACCAUUGUUGGAGGGAGUGAUCCGGAAGAAUUCCUAGCCCUUACCUGUCUCAGUCAUGCUUCUUGCCAAAGAAAAAGAGAAAUCUCCAAGUAUCUUAAUGCUUUCAGCGCUUCUCCAAUCUGACAAAUAUUUAUUCAGAUUCGAACUGACUGCCCAAGCUUCACUGCAGCUCCUCGUUUCCUGUUAGAUCUUUUUAAAAAUCUUUGCUUAAAACAUUGAAGGCUGAACGAUGAGCAAGAAAAUCUUGCCUGUGAAUAAGACACUGGGAACUGCACAGAAUCAACAUCAGCUCACAAGCUCAUCAUCUCACGCACGGAUUCCUGAGCACAUUCUCGCAUUCUUGCUCUUAAUCCUCCCUUGGCGACCUUCUACUCAGACAUCAUCUUUUAUGCAGAGAAGCAGGCACGUUUCUCAUCAUUAAUUCUGUUCUCAGCCAGGUGUGUAGCCACAGAGCAUACAGACCACAGGAUGAUUGAAAGCAUAUUGACUUUCCUGACUUCUUAUGACCACAUUUGAGGAAAGGAGUAAGCACUGGAAUCACCAACACAGCAUGCUUACGGAGGGUGGUCACCAGCUUCAUCAGCCUCCCAAUUCCACGGAGCCCCUUGAAAAUCCAGGAGCGCAGACUGGCAACAGUAGAGAUUUAAUAGGAGUUUACUGGAGGUUAUACUCCAGUCAAAGAAGAUGGAAACCAAGAAAGGACACAUUUUGGAGAUUAGCACUGGCUCCAGGAACCCAGUGAACAGAAGACUCAGGCUGAAGGCUUGUGCAUUCAGCCCAGAGAAAAUCCACUUAAAUUCAGAACAAUUAAGGACUCUGGGGAAGAAGGACUUCACAUGGUAGUGUGAUUGGAAGGCAGAUAAAUUUUAGGACACAAUGGAAGUUCCUAAGAUUUUUUAUCCUUUUCCAAUAGGAAGGAUAAAAAAAUCAUCUAAAACUAGAGGAAAAAUCAUCUAAAACAAGGUAUAAAGAAAUGGCUCACGUGUGACCCUUAUUUUACUGUGACAUGGAGCAUUUGAUGAAGGAUGUGGGAAGGGAGCCUGCUUAACUAUGAAGUGAGUAGCAUCGCCCCAGGAGCACCAUGACAGAUGCACAGGACAUGGAGGGAAGGAAAUGGCAUCCUGGCACAGCCCUGGCUCUACAUUGAGCAAUGUAGACAAAAUCAUAAAGGCUGCUCUAGUUUUCUACUUUUAGAAUCAACCUACAGACAUGUAAGACUUAAUUGUAGUUGUAGAAUAAAAGAUAAAAGAUUAUUGGCUUUCAUAACAAUAAAGUCCUAACAAUGAUUCACAGUUAUUCCAUGAAUAAGGGUAGGGGAAAAGAGGGAGGAAUGUAAGGCAUUUUAUAUGGAGCAAGGGAGGCAAAAGACGUUGACAGAGGCUUAUGGAACAACACACACACGCACACAAAUAGAAGGAAUAUAUUGCUUAAAAUGACAAAAAUAGCCAACAUAGGCUGGGUGCGGUGGCUCAUGCCUGUAAUCCCAGCACUUUGGGAGGCUGAGGCGGACGGAUCACUUGAAGCCAGGAGUUCAAGACCAGCCUGGCCAACAUGGUGAAACCCCGUCUCUACUAAAAAUACAAAAAUUGACUGGGCGCAGUGGUGUGCAUCUGUAGUUCCAACUACUUGGGAGGCUGAGGCAGGAGAAUCACUUGAAUCCGGGAGGCGGAGGUUGCAGUGAGCCGAGAUCACGCCACUGCAUCCUAGCCUGGGUGACAGAGUGAGACCGUCUGAAAAAGAAAAAAGCCAACAUAGGAAUUUUUAAAAUAAUAUAUAAUUACCAAAAAUUGGGGAAAAUAGAGACAGGGAAGGCAGUUCUAUAAGCGAGAUAAAUCUUUAUCUUUUGUAUCAGAAAGUCAAUAAAUAUUGUCUGAAUUUGAUUGGUUAUUUCCAUUUUUAUGAAAUGUCUACAAUAGGCAAAUCUAUAGAACCAGUAAAGAAAUUAGGAAUUCCUGUGGCUGGGACUGAAGAGUGAAAUCACUGCAAGUGGUCAAGAGGGAUCUUCUGAAGUGAUAGGUGUGUUCUAAAAUUGGGCUGUGGGGAUGCUUGCACAACUCUGUAACUUUGCUAAAAUUCAUUUCAUUACACAUUUAGUGAGUUUUAUGAUAUGUACAUUACCCAUCAAUAAAGCUGUGUUAAAAAAAAGGCUGAUUUUUUAGGCUGGGCGCAGUGGCUCACGCCUGCAAUCCCAGCACUUUGGGAGGCCAAGGCGGGGGGAUCACAAGGUCAGGAGAUCAAGACCAUCCUGGCUAACAUGGUGAAACCCCGUCUCUACUAAAAAUACAAAAAAUUAGCCGGGUGUGG